rnacentral:tRNA from 1 species
AAGAUACUAGUAUAAUGAUAGUACAUUGCCUUGUCAAGGCAAAAUUGUAGGUUAAACCCCUGCGUAUCUUA